AUGAGCAGCUCGGUGCUCUUCUGGUACUUGCGGAUCUCCCGGAGCGCGACGGUGCCGGGGCGGAAGCGGUGGGGCUUCUUGACGCCGCCGGUGGCCGGGGCGGACUUGCGGGCGGCCUUGGUGGCCAGCUGCUUCCUCGGCGCCUUGCCGCCGGUGGACUUCCUCGCCGUCUGCUUGGUGCGGGCCAUGUCGUCGGAGAUGCGCCGGUAG
rnacentral:rRNA from 1 species